CCUCCCAGGUUCAGGGGUUCAGGUUUAUCAGUGGUGAAAGUGGCUUACUAGCUGCUUCCUAUCUCCUUGCUUCUGUGUGGUGGAGCUGAACUGGAGCUGCCCAGCCUGUUAUAGAAUCCAUAGGCAUCAAGGCAAAGUGGAAUCCUUGUGGCUCAGGCACAUCAUUUUCUAUAAUUAAGUCACAAUGGACUUUUGGAGAGCUCUGCUGAAUGAUUGAGAGCCUGUGCACAGCUGGGCCUACUAACAAACUCUGCGCUAGUCUAAGGAGGAUUCCUCUGUCUUGAAUAAAUGGAUCAUGUGUAAAGAAUGAAAUCACAGGUCUGUUCCAGCGAAACUGUAAAACCAGUGGACAUCCAGGAAAUCCAUUCUGUGCACAGCUCAUUUUCCCUCCUGAAGCUGAUGGAGUACGUGCCACCCAGGUACCUCCCCAGCAGAUGAUGUAGCAGUGCACAACAAAGACUUCACACCACUGAGUGGAAAUGGAACUCUUGCAAUAUAAUCUGAUCACUUCCUAUGGACAAUCCAUAUAUGGAGCAGGCUGAAAGGGCCUCUGAGCACCCUGAUAUAUCUGUAGGUGUCUGCAUUCAUUGCAGGGGACUUAGACUAAAUGGUCUUUUAAGAUCUCUUGUAACUCAAAUGAUUCUGUGAAUGUGAGAUUUGGCCCUAAUUUUCGAAGGUCACAUUCCUAUCUUGCUUUGUAAAGAUCAAUUCCACAUUGUCCCUCACUACCUGAAAUCUUCAACGAGAAAUUCUAUAAUGCUUAUUUUAAAAUUAAUCUCCUGGCCAUCCUUUAGAUUGACAUCUUUAUAUUUGUGCUGUAGGAUGGUUUGAAACUGGGUUAUUUCCUUUUGCACUCUGGAAUCAAUUAAGGAAAAAAAAAAAAACCCACACACAAAACUGAUUAAUAUUCCAGGCCAUCCAUUCUUAUAGUUUCAAAAACCCUUUGCACACAAAUUCAUGCUUGGUGUGUCCCAGGAAGCGUUUUGUUCUGCUUGCUGGAGGCCUUAUGUGUAGAUCAUAUUUCUCUCCCAAAGCAAAGUAUGAUUUUAUUUUUCUUAGGCAUUGUUAAGGAGUAUUUAUUGUUCUCCUGGAGAAAAGGGGGAAUUUAAAGAGAGUAUCCUGGAAAAAACUCUAUCGUUAAACUAAAGCUGUUGUGCAUUACAAUGAAAUGCUGUACCUGUGAAAGUAUGUGACAUUCAAUAUCCAGCAAAUUCAUUGUUAUUACUGUACAUUGAAUGUCAGAUGAAUUCAUAACGGUGGUAUAUUGAAGGUAAGAUAUUAUCCCAGAUUCAAACAAUGUGGUUCUACUGACAACUCACGCUAGCCUUCAGGGCAGCGGAUGGCACUUUCAGAGCUCGUUGGAAAGGAUUUUUUAGUGCUCCUGUUACCUCACUUAUAAAAACAAAUGGCAUAGGAAUGGAAGGGUGAUCCAAAGCCGCAUGAGGUCAGUGUGGGUUUUUCCUUUGACAUCAAUGGGCUGAGGAUCGAGUCCGCAGGGUGGAGAGGGGAGGAAGGAAGGAAACAAUGUUAGAAGAGAAAUCAGUGAAGAAAAACUCUCCAUUACACUUCCCUUGGGUAUUUUUUCGUAAUAGCUUUCCGGCUGGAUUUAGCACUCUGCCGAGUGGAGAGAAAAACACAACAGCAGCUUGCUACUGCAGGAAAAGGGCAGAAUGAAGUUAAAAACAAUUCCUUAGCACUAUUAGAUUGGUUUAAUGCAAUCUCUGUUUCCUUUUAUUUGCUUAUGCCCGUGAAGAUGGAAAUGGUCAGGCCACUGGGAAGGGGAUAACGUGGUGGUGUGUAUGGGCAGAGCCCCACUAGAGCAGCUACACCCAUGGGAAGGACCAUAUCUGCAGCACCUCCACAGUGACAAGAGAGGAAUGUAAUAUGUACAGAGUACGUGGCAGGGGCUGUGCAAGGCAUUAGCUCUGAGAGUGAAACA